rnacentral:rRNA from 1 species
CCUACGGGCGGCAGCAGUGAGGAAUAUUGGUCAAUGGCCGGAAGGCUGAACCAGCCAAGCCGCGUGAGGGAGGAAGGCGCAGAGCGUCGCAGACCUCUUUUGCCGGGGGACAAAAGGCCGGACUCGUCCGGUCCUGAGAGUACCCGGAGAAAAAGCAUCGGCUAACUCCGUGCCAGCAGCCGCGGUACUACGGAGGAUGCGAGCGUUAUCCGGAUUCAUUGGGUUUAAAGGGUUGUCAUGCGGGCCUUUAAGACGGCGGUGAAAUCGCGGGGCUCAACACCGCCGAGCCGUCGGAACUGGCAGCCUUGAGUACAGUUGAGGUAGGCGGAAUUCGUGGUGUAGCGGUGAAAUGCUUAGAUAUCACGAAGAACUCCGAUUGCGAAGGCAGCCUACUAAACUGCCACUGACAUUGAUGCUCGAAAGUGUGGGUAUCAAACAGGAUGAGAUACCCUUGUAGUC